AACGAACGCUGGCGGCAUGCCUAACACAUGCAAGUCGAACGAGACCUUCGGGUCUAGUGGCGCACGGGUGCGUAACGCGUGGGAACCUGCCCUUAGGUUCGGAAUAACUCCCCGAAAGGGGUGCUAAUACCGGAUAAUGUCUUCGGACCAAAGAUUUAUCGCCUUUGGAUGGGCCCGCGUUGGAUUAGCUAGUUGGUAGGGUAAAAGCCUGCCAAGGCGACGAUCCAUAGCUGGUCUGAGAGGAUGAUUAGCCACACUGGGGCUGAGGCACGGCCCAGACUCCUACGCGAGGCAGCAGUAGGGUGUAUAGGAGAAUGGACGAAAGCCUAAUCCAGCAAUGCCGCGUGAGUGAGGAAGGCCUUAGGGUUGUAAAGCUCUUUUACCCGAGAUGAUAAUGACGGUACCGGGAGAAUAAGCACCGGCUAACUCCGUG
rnacentral:rRNA from 1 species